GUAGGUGGCAAGCGUUGUCCGGAAUUAUUGGGCGUAAAGCGCGCGCAGGCGGUUCUUUAAGUCUGAUGUGAAAGCCCACGGCUCAACCGUGGAGGGUCAUUGGAAACUGGAGAACUUGAGUACAGAAGAGGAAAGCGGAAUUCCACGUGUAGCGGUGAAAUGCGUAGAGAUGUGGAGGAACACCAGUGGCGAAGGCGGCUUUCUGGUCUGUAACUGACGCUGAGGCGCGAAAGCGUGGGGAGCAAACAGGGAUUAGAUACCCUGGUAGUCCACGCCGUAAACGAUGAGUGCUAAGUGUUAGGGGGUUUCCGCCCCCUUAGUGCUGCAGCUAACGCAUUAAGCACUCCGCCUGGGGUAGUACGGCCGCAAGGCUG
rnacentral:rRNA from 1 species